UACGAAGGGGCUAGCGUUGUUCGGAAUCACUGGCGUAAAGCGCACGUAGGCGGAUUGUUAAGUCGGGGUGAAUCCUGGAGCUCACUCCAGAACUGCCUUCGAUACUGGCGAUCUCGAGUUCGGGAGAGGUGAGUGGAACUGCGAGUGUAGAGGUGAAAUUCGUAGAUAUUCGCAAGACACCAGUGGCGAAGGCGGCUCACUGGCCCGAUACUGACGCUGAGGUGCGAAAGCGUGGGAGCAACAGGG
rnacentral:rRNA from 1 species